GGGUGUGAGAGUGAUCUGGCUGCAACAUCUGUCACCUCAUUGAUUGCCAGGGUUGAUUUGGCUAAUCUGGUUGGCUAGGCGGGUGUCCCCUUCCUCCUUUCCUGUUCCAUGUGUGUCCCUGCUGUGCACUAGUUGAAGAUGAUGGCCUUCCCCAAAUAGAGACGGACCAGUCUUUGGUUGAGGGUAUACAAGUAGUUGUGCUCUCCAGCUAGAACCUCUAAAUAAGCUCUCAAGAAAUGGUCCACAAACACCUGAGAUACAGGGAAGGUUUGAGAUACCAUAAGCAGUUCAGCUCCCCUGGAUGAUGGGGUAGGC
ensembl:misc_RNA 7SK 7SK RNA